CCUACGGGGGGCAGCAGUGGGGAAUAUUGGACAAUGGGGGGAACCCUGAUCCAGCGACGCCGCGUGAGUGAAGAAGUAUUUCGGUAUGUAAAGCUCUAUCAGCAGGGAAGAAAGAAAUGACGGUACCUGACUAAGAAGCCCCGGCUAACUACGUGCCAGCAGCCGCGGUAAUACGUAGGGGGCAAGCGUUAUCCGGAUUUACUGGGUGUAAAGGGAGCGUAGACGGCGAUGCAAGUCUGAAGUGAAAGGCGGGGGCCCAACCCCCGGACUGCUUUGGAAACUGUAUGGCUGGAGUGCAGGGGAGGUAAGUGGAAUUCCUAGUGUAGCGGUGAAAUGCGUAGAUAGUAGGAGGAACACCAGUGGCGAAGGCGGCUUACUGGACUGUAACUGACGUUGAGGCUCGAAAGCGUGGGGAGCAAACAGGAUUAGAUACCCCUGUAGUC
rnacentral:rRNA from 1 species